UGGGGAAUAUUGCACAAUGGGCGAAAGCCUGAUGCAGCGACGCCGCGUGAGGGAUGACGGCCUUCGGGUUGUAAACCUCUUUCAGCAGGGACGAAGCGCAAGUGACGGUACCUGCAGAAGAAGCACCGGCUAACUACGUGCCAGCAGCCGCGGUAAUACGUAGGUUGCAAGCGUUGUCCGGAAUUACUGGGCGUAAAGGGUUCGUAGGCGGUUUGUCGCGUCGUAUGUGAAAACCAGCAGCUCAACUGCUGGCUUGCAGGCGAUACGGGCAGACUUGAGUACUGCAGGGGAGACUGGAAUUCCUGGUGUAGCGGUGAAAUGCGCAGAUAUCAGGAGGAACACCGGUGGCGAAGGCGGGUCUCUGGGCAGUAACUGACGCUGAGGAACGAAAGCGUGGGUAGCGAACAGG
rnacentral:rRNA from 1 species